rnacentral:rRNA from 1 species
AGUGAACGCUGGCGGUAGGCCUAACACAUGCAAGUCGAACGGCAGCACAGUAAGAGCUUGCUCGUACGGGUGGCGAGUGGCGGACGGGUGAGGAAUACAUCGGCAUCUACUUUUUCGUGGGGGAUAACGUAGGGAAACUUACGCUAAUACCGCAUACGACCUACGGGUGAAAGCAGGGGAUCUUCUUAACUUGCGCGAUUGAAUGAGCCGAUGUCGGAUUAGCUAGUGGGGGGGGUAAAGGUCCACUAAGGGGGCGAUACGUAGCUGGUCUGAGAGGAUGAUCCGGCACCCUGGAACUGAGACAGGGUCGAGACUCCGACGGGAGGCAGCAGUGGGGAAUAUUGGACAAUGGACGAAAGCCUGAUCCAGCCAUACCGCGUGGGUGAAGAAGGCCUUCCGGUUGUAAAGCCAUUUUGGUGGGAAAGAAAAGCAGCAGGUUAAUACCCCGCUGUUCUGACGGUACCCAAAGAAUAAGCACCGGCUAACUUCGUG